UCGCCCCUCCGCCCACUUCGCUUCCCUUUAUUGAAUGGGGCUCCAUUGUUUCAUCGUCCCCAACCAACACGUUCAAAGGAUCACGGCCUUUGAGACGGAAAAGUCCUAUACGGAUUGACCAUGCAAUGAUGUUUCCAGCAAGAUGCACAGCCAACAACUAUGGUUUGCAUGCCCUGCCAAGGACCCUAUCAUAAUGCGUAAUAGGUGGUUGGAGUUCGUUGGGCCCCAGUGGUGAUUCUCCCUCAAUUCUUAUGAAAAGGACACACCAUCAUGAGGCCUCUGAUAGUGAUCCGAGUUAUUGCCCUGAUGGCACAGAUGGCUUCAUCAACAACGACAGACCCUCCCAGUCAACACCACCUCAUAAGAUUGCCUGCUGCAGUUAUUCAAGAGAUGUCCAGUUUGCAGCCGAACAUCAGCAUUAUGCAGACAUUCCCUCGCUGUGAGCAUUCUUAUGAAUGAGAGAGUCAGCCACAUGUUGGCCAGCAACCUUCACCUGUCAGCGGCAACAACUUUCACAGGCUCAUCAUUUGUACAAAUACAGAAGUAUCUUUGAUGAGGGGCCAGGAGCUGAUCUACGCUGCUAUGCCCAUCAAUAGGGCUCUGUUAAAGACCUCACCUCCAGCCUCACCUCUUGCCUGCUCACCAUAGGUCGCCGAUGGGGAGAACAGAAUACGAAACGUGUGUGGAGCCAGCACAUGGUGACUUGCAAGAUGAUGUGAUGAAGUCCAGACUGACAGACGAAAUUGUCGAUAGGCACAGUAUCUGUAUAGGCUGGGAAUAACAAUGAAAUAUUAAAUGUGCACAUUGUUAUAUUAACAGAACACUGCUUCUAUGGUGUUGUGUAAAGGGUUGUUUAUUCUACAUUGACCUG